rnacentral:rRNA from 1 species
UACGUAGGGUGCAAGCGUUGUCCGGAAUUAUUGGGCGUAAAGAGCUCGUAGGCGGUCUGUCGCGUCGGCUGUGAAAUCCCGGGGGCUCAACCCCGGGCCUGCAGUCGAUACGGGCAGACUAGAGUGCGGUAGGGGAGACUGGAAUUCCUGGUGUAGCGGUGAAAUGCGCAGAUAUCAGGAGGAACACCGGUGGCGAAGGCGGGUCUCUGGGCCGUAACUGACGCUGAGGAGCGAAAGCGUGGGGAGCAAACAGG